rnacentral:rRNA from 1 species
AGUGAACGCUGGCGGUAGGCCUAACACAUGCAAGUCGAACGGCAGGACAGUAAGAGCUCGCUCUUACGGGUGGCGAGUGGCGGACGGGUGAGGAAUACAUCGGAAUCUACUUUUUCGUGGGGGAUAACGGAGGGAAACUGAUGCUAAUACAGCAUACGACCUACGGGAGGAAGCAGAAGAGCAACAGAGCUUGCGCGACUGAAUGAGACGGUGCCGCAUUAGCUAGUUGGCGAGGUAACGGCUCACCAAGGCAACGAUACGUAGCAGACCUGAGAGGAUGAUCGGCCACACUGGAACUGAGACACGGUCCAGACUCCUACGGGAGGCAGCAGUAGGGAAUCUUCCGCAAUGGGCGAAAGCCUGACGGAGCAACGCCGCGUGAGUGAUGAAGGUCUUCGGAUCGUAAAACUCUGUUAUUAGGGAAGAACAUAUGUGUAAGUAACUGUGCACAUCUUGACGGUACCUAAUCAGAAAGCCACGGCUAACUACGUG